CCUACGGGAGGCAGCAGUGGGGGAUAUUGCACAAUGGGGGGAACCCUGAUGCAGCGACGCCGCGUGGGUGAAGGAGUGCUUCGGCAUGUAAAGCCCUAUCGGCAGGGAAGAAGCAAGACGGUACCUGACUAAGAAGCCUCGGCUAACUACGUGCCAGCAGCCGCGGUAAUACGGAGGGGGCGAGCGUUAUCCGGAUUCACUGGGUGUACAGGGAGCGUAGACGGCCAUGCAAGCCAGGUGUGAAAGCCCGGGGCCCAACCCCGGGACUGCCCUUGGAACUGGGCGGAGAGAGUGCGGGAGGGGCAGGCGGAAUUCCUGGGGUAGCGGUGAAAUGCGUAGAUAUCAGGAGGAACACCGGCGGCGAAGGCGGCCUGCUGGACCGCGACUGACGUUGAGGCUCGAAAGCGUGGGGAGCGAACAGGAUUAGAUACCCUGGUAGUC
rnacentral:rRNA from 1 species